CCUGAAGACACACCUGCCUGGUUCCUGAGGCAGGCAGACAUUAACAGCGACUCAUUGUUGUUCACCAGAGUGAGUCUGUUCACUGCACUCCUCUAAAAAAAGUCCACUUCACAAAGACGGGAGACUCAACCUGACAGAGAGGCGACUCUGAAAGCAAAGGGAAUCAUGGGGAAAGGCGCGAGCGAGGAGUGGGAUGAAAAGCACCACGACACGAGGCAAACCCAGCCCCGGAAACACGAGGAGACGGAGAGCAGGAGCUCCGGGAGCAGCUGCCCCAAAUGCUGCCUGAAGACCCGGGACUGCCUGAUGAGUCCGGAGUGCGGCCGGGCGCUGCAGAUCUCCAGCGUGGUCGCCAUGUGUGGAAUGUGUAUCCGUUGGUUCAUAUAACCAAGGCUUGGACAGCAGCAGCAAUUUUUCUGUGUUUUCCUUGCACAGGAGUCAAGCUGUGUGGUUUUUCUUCCAAUCUAAAGUGGGAAAAUACUCUGUUUCAUUGAUUUGAAGUUCUCUUUAAUCCUAUAUCUGCAAGCUAAUCAACAGAAAUAGAUGUGUUUCUUAGAAGAUGUGUACAUAAACCCAACUAAAAUGGAAAUAUUCCUCUGAAUUCAUCAUUUUAGUGUUUGUGCCAUGCAGAUGUUGUAUAUUUAUAUUUGACAUGUUAUUAAAAAAAUAAAUGAAACUGA